rnacentral:SRP_RNA from 1 species
GCUGGGUGUGGUGGCGUGCACCUGUAAUCCCAGCUACUCAGGAGGCUGAGGCAGGAGAAUUGCUUGAACCCAGGAGGUGGAGGUUGCAGUGAGCUGAGAUGGUGCCACUGCACUUCAGCCUGGGCAACAGAGCAAGACUCUGUCUCAA